rnacentral:rRNA from 1 species
GACGUAGGGUGCGAGCGUUGUCCGGAUUUAUUGGGCGUAAAGAACGUGUAGGCGGUUAGGUAGGUCCGUUGUGAAAACUCGAGGCUCAACCUCGAGACGCCGAUGGAAACCAUCUGACUAGAGUCCGGAAGAGGAGAGUGGAAUUCCUGGUGUAGCGGUGAAAUGCGCAGAUAUCAGGAAGAACACCCGUGGCUAAGGCGGCUCUCUAGUACGGUACUGACGCUGAGACGCGAAAGCAUGGGGAGCGAACAGG